rnacentral:lncRNA from 7 species
AGCUGAGCUGUUGGAAUCAACCUUUAGGAUACUCUGCUCCUUAAGUCAGCCUUGAAACAGCCAUGUAGUGAAACUGCGUCCCCUCAACAAAGAGAGAGAUGUGCCACCAAGUUUUAAAAACUGACUGGAAGGAGACAAUUGAUGGAAAGAACAGGAGAGAUUUGAGGUGCAAAAUAACCCGUGAAGGGGCAGAGGUCUGCUUGGAGGGCCUGCUGUUCCCAGGAGCUCCUGGGAUCCUGCUGGAUGACCACCAUGGGCAUUGCAGUUACUCAGGCUGGUCUGAGAUCUCAGCACUCACCCCUUCAGGGCAGGUUGUUUCCCUCUGGUUCUCCAGGCCUCACUCGCUACCUGUGGUGUGAAUCAAUGCUGUUCCUGGUGAUGUGGACACCUGCUGGCCUGACCCCUGGGGCCAAGUGACCCUGCGGCGAUGGGUGCUUCUGACCUGGGGAGAAUUAGAAUGACUGACCCAAAGGCAAAAGGCUUGGUAUCCUGUUACUAAUCCCCUCAUCCAGCCCAAUCCCCAUCUCUUCCCCCCCUACCCCCUCUUUUUUUUUUUUUUUAAGUUUAUUCUUAAGGAGCAUUUACUGCACCAGCUGCUGGAAUAUCUCAAUUGCAUCAUGUCAACGGGUCCAUCUCAGACCGAUAUUUUAUACUAGAAGGCUGAGCUUAACUCUCUCUUCCAUUAAACAAUUAAAGUCAUGCGCACCAAACUCAAAACAGGCUCUGCUGUAGGAGAACAGUAAAUAUUGAUAACUUGAGGCAAGUCUGGCUUUUAUGACAUUUGAUGACAACUGGUAUCACUUACAAAAAUUACAUCAUAAAGAAAAAGCAAUGAAAUAGUAUGUCAUCAGACAGCAUUAAAUGUCAGAAGAAGCACAUUUAUCCUUUGUUUUCAGAUCCAAAUUCAGUUCUAACAUUAAAAGAAAUCUACAGCAGUUCUGCUAUUUAUCAGUCACUGUUGCAAAAAGUCCUGCAGUAUUUUUGUUUGCUGACUUUCUCAUUGCUGAGGGCGGUGUGCUGUUUAUUUUCUUUGAGGCCAAGUUGUAUCUAGUAGAGCAUCCUCUGAGCUGAAACAUCACCUUCUUCCUUACCCCAUCCACCUUGUUUUGGUCUGCUCUCAUCCUUGGGAGGCACCAUGGGCUGCAGCUUCUUGAAAACCGUGGAGUAAUCAGUGGCAGUGUUGGGCCUGGAGAUGACACUCACUGAGUCAGGUAUUAGCAAUAAACCAUGGCU